rnacentral:rRNA from 1 species
AUGCUACAUGAGGAAAAGGCGGCAGCCAUCAAAAGAUUAAAUAAGAAGGGACAAUUGCCUACAGAACUAACAGAAAUGGAUGAGGAUGGUAACCGCUGGCCAACUAAGGAAGCUUUAAUUUCUACAAAGAGAGUUGACUUCGAUACAGACGUUGGUUGGCGUCUACUAUGUGAGCACUGGAGUAGUACUGAAUUUAGAGGGUUAUCUUUAACCAACAAGAUGAACAGACUUGCUAAUGGGGACGCAGUCUUCCAUUGCAAUGGUGCUAGAAAUGUUGUCGCCACACGUCAAUUUCUGAAACUCAAAACCGGUAAAGACCCUAGAAUUUCUGGUGCUUGGCUUCACACACACAAAUUGCAUCGAGGGACUGAUGAAGAGCGGAUAUGCAGUCAAAGAACUGUUGAUCGUUGGGAGGAUUUUGAUAAGGCAAUGAAAAAUGCCCAUGGAGAAAAUUGGGAAAAGGAGCAUCCGGAUUUAGAUGGACAAAUCAUCUACGAAGCAGCAGGUAGAAUGCCACAUGGCAGGCUGGGAAUUGCUAAUGAGUUGUUUAGCAAAGCAGAGAAGGCGAAGUUUAAGUCUAAAAGGGCGCCUCACAACUGGUGCAGUCUGCUAAGGAGGAGCGUCUAG